rnacentral:rRNA from 1 species
UACGGAGGGUGCAAGCGUUAUCCGGAUUCACUGGGUUUAAAGGGUGCGUAGGUGGGUUGGUAAGUCAGUGGUGAAAUCCCCGAGCUUAACUUGGGAACUGCCAUUGAUACUAUUGAUCUUGAAUACCGUGGAGGUCAGCGGAAUAUGUCAUGUAGCGGUGAAAUGCUUAGAUAUGACAUAGAACACCAAUUGCGAAGGCAGCUGGCUACGCGAAUAUUGACACUGAGGCACGAAAGCGUGGGGAUCAAACAGG